rnacentral:rRNA from 1 species
UACGAAGGGGGCUAGCGUUGCUCGGAAUCACUGGGCGUAAAGCGCACGUAGGCGGAUUGUUAAGUCAGGGGUGAAAUCCUGGAGCUCAACUCCAGAACUGCCUUUGAUACUGGCGAUCUCGAGUCCGGGAGAGGUGAGUGGAACUGCGAGUGUAGAGGUGAAAUUCGUAGAUAUCGCAAGAACACCAGUGGCGAAGGCGGCUCACUGGCCCGGUACUGACGCUGAGGUGCGAAAGCGUGGGGAGCAAACAGG